UACAGAGGGUGCGAGCGUUGUUCGGAAUUACUGGGCGUAAAGUGUGCGCAGGCGGCAGAGCAAGUCGAGUGUGAAAGCCCCGGGCUUAACUUGGGAAUUGCGCUCGAAACUACUUUGCUGGAGUGUGGCAGAGGAAGGUGGAAUUCCGAGUGUAGAGGUGAAAUUCGUAGAUAUUCGGAGGAACACCAGUGGCGAAGGCGGCUCACUGGCUCGACACUGACGCUGAGGUGCGAAAGCGUGGGGAGCAAACAGG
rnacentral:rRNA from 1 species